rnacentral:rRNA from 1 species
UACCAGCAGCCCCGAGUGGUCGGGACGUUUAUUGGGCCUAAAGGCAUCCGUAGCCGGUUCUACAAGUCUUCCGUUAAAUCCAGCUGCUUAACAGAUGGGCUGCGGAAGAUACUAUGGAGCUAGGAGGCGGGAGAGGCAAGCGGUACUCGAUGGGUAGGGGUAAAAUCCGUUGAUCCAUUGAAGACCACCAGUGGCGAAGGCGGCUUGCCAGAACGCGCUCGACGGUGAGGGAUGAAAGCUGGGGGGAGCAAACCGG